rnacentral:rRNA from 1 species
UACGUAGGCACCAAGCGUUGUCCGGAUUUACUGGGCGUAAAGAGCUCGUAGGCGGUUCAGUAAGUCGGGUGUGAAAACUCUGGGCUCAACCCAGAGACGCCACCCGAUACUGCUGUGACUUGAGUACGGUAGGGGAGUGGGGAAUUCCUGGUGUAGCGGUGAAAUGCGCAGAUAUCAGGAGGAACACCAGUGGCGAAGGCGCCCCUCUGGGCCGUAACUGACGCUGAGGAGCGAAAGCGUGGGGAGCAAACAGG